GUGGAUUAGAUACCCUGGUAGUCCUAGCCGUAAACGAUGUGAACUUGGCGUUGGUGGGUUAAACUCCAUCAGUGCCGCAGCAAACGCGAUAAGUUCACCGCCUGGGGACUACGGCCGCAAGGUUAAAACUCAAAGGAAUUGACGGGGGUCCGCACAAGCAGCGGAGCGUGUGGUUUAAUUCGAUGCUACACGAAGAACCUUACCCAGGCUUGACAUACAGGUGGUAGGGAUCCGAAAGGUGACCGACCCGCAAGGGAGCCUGAACAGGUGUUGCACGGCUGUCGACAGCU
rnacentral:rRNA from 1 species